GACGAACGCUGGCGGCGUGCUUAACACAUGCAAGUCGAACGGAAAGGCCCUGCUUUUGUGGGGUGCUCGAGUGGCGAACGGGUGAGUAACACGUGAGUAACCUGCCCUUGACUUUGGGAUAACUUCAGGAAACUGGGGCUAUACCGGAUAGGAGCUUCUGCUGCCUGGUGGGGGUUGGAAAGUUUCGGCGGUUGGGGAUGGACUCGCGGCUUAUCAGCUUGUUGGUGGGGUAGUGGCUUACCAAGGCUUUGACGGGUAGCCGGCCUGAGAGGGUGACCGGCCACAUUGGGACUGAGAUACGGCCCAGACUCCUACGGGAGGCAGCAGUGGGGAAUAUUGCACAAUGGGCGGAAGCCUGAUGCAGCAACGCCGCGUGCGGGAUGACGGCCUUCGGGUUGUAAACCGCUUUCGCCUGUGACGAAGCGUGAGUGACGGUAAUGGGUAAAGAAGCACCGGCUAACUACGUG
rnacentral:rRNA from 1 species